UUCAAUCAUCCCGAGCGAUUCGGUCCCACAAGCCCGAAUCCACCAACCUGUCCAAGGCGGAUAAGGUGGUUCUCAUGAUGAGCCCGUUCUGGGAAGCCGUCCACGCACGGC
rnacentral:ncRNA from 1 species